CGCCUUUUGACUUCUCAACAUAAAAGGUCCUGCCUGCCCAGUGACUCUGUUCAACGGCCGCGGUAUUAUGACCGUGCAAAGGUAGCGUAAUCACUUGUCUUUUAAAUAAAGACCAGUAUGAACGGCAAAACGAGAGCCUAACUGUCUCACUAGACCAGUCAGUGAAAUUAAUCUUCCAGUGCAGAAGCUGAAAUAUUUAUAUAAGACGAGAAGACCCUGUGGAGCUUGAAACCUCAAGCUAAUAUAAAUUAUAUUUUAGCACUCGGUUUUAGGUUGGGGCGACCAUAAGAAAAAAUAAACUCUUAAGACACUAACAAGAGGGACACUUCGAAUAAAUAAUAAUAUUAAUACAUUGACCCAAUAUUUGAUCAACGAACCAAGUUACCCCAGGGAUAACAGCGCAAUCCACUCACAGAGCCCAUAUCGACGAGCGGGUUUACGACCUCGAUGUUGGAUCAGGACCCCCUAAUGGUGCAACAACUAUUGAAGGUUCGUUUGUUCAACGAUUAAAGUCCU
rnacentral:rRNA from 1 species